UGUCCCUGCAGCUCUGGUGGCAUUUUAUUUUAUUUAUUUUGGAUUUGCAUGUAGAGAAUGGAACCUCUUCUGGUUCCUUCCAACAGUCGAUUGAGGGUACAAUAGAAUAAUGGAGGGACUCGUGUCCCGGUUGUGAGAACAAAGCUUAUGCAGACUUCGGACAAACCCAGAGAAUUGCCAUUCUUGCAUCACCCACCUCAAAAACAUAAAUGCUAGAUAAAAUAAAACGACAAAAUUGGAAGAAAGCACAGCCUCGUCUUCGUGGUAGCUGUAUACCCAGAUGUUUGAAAGGCAAAGUCUGAACUCUAAAGCAUCUUGGAGCAGCUUCAUUUUGGUUUAAAUCAGCACAGAGGCAUCAGGCCAAGUUCGGGGCGAUGGGAGCGGAGAGCAUUGUACAGAAGAGGCCGGCUCCUCCGUGCUCCUCCGAGAUGGAA